AGAGUUUGAUCAUGGCUCAGAUUGAACGCUGGCGGCAUGCCUAACACAUGCAAGUCGAACGGCAGCACAGAGGAGCUUGCUCCUUGGGUGGCGAGUGGCGGACGGGUGAGUAAUGCAUCGGGAUCUACCCUGACGUGGGGGAUAACCUCGGGAAACCGGGACUAAUACCGCAUACGUCCUACGGGAGAAAGCGGGGGACCUUUUAGGCCUCGCGCGGCAGGACGAACCGAUGUGCGAUUAGCUAGUUGGCGGGGUAAUGGCCCACCAAGGCGACGAUCGCUAGCUGGUCUGAGAGGAUGAUCAGCCACACUGGGACUGAGACACGGCCCAGACUCCUACGGGAGGCAGCAGUGGGGAAUAUUGGACAAUGGGCGCAAGCCUGAUCCAGCAAUGCCGCGUGUGUGAAGAAGGCCUUCGGGUUGUAAAGCACUUUUAUCAGGAGCGAAAUCUGCAUGCUUAAUACGUGUGCAGUCUGACGGUACCUGAGGAAUAAGCACCGGCUAACUUCGUGCCAGCAGCCGCGGUAAUAC
rnacentral:rRNA from 1 species